rnacentral:rRNA from 1 species
GUGGGGAAUUUUGGACAAUGGGCGCAAGCCUGAUCCAGCCAUGCCGCGUGCAAGAUGAAGGCCUUCGGGUUGUAAACUGCUUUUGUACGGAACGAAAAGACUUCUUCUAAUACAGGAGGUCCAUGACGGUACCGUAAGAAUAAGCACCGGCUAACUACGUGCCAGCAGCCGCGGUAAUACGUAGGGUGCAAGCGUUAAUCGGAAUUACUGGGCGUAAAGCGUGCGCAGGCGGUUAUAUAAGACAGAUGUGAAAUCCCCGGGCUCAACCUGGGAACUGCAUUUGUGACUGUAUAGCUAGAGUACGGUAGAGGGGGAUGGAAUUCCGCGUGUAGCAGUGAAAUGCGUAGAUAUGCGGAGGAACACCGAUGGCGAAGGCAAUCCCCUGGACCUGUACUGACGCUCAUGCACGAAAGCGUGGGGAGCAAACAGGAUUAGAAACCCGGGUAGUCC